CUCUCUUUGAUUUUAUUUUUUCUUCUACUUAAAUUGGAGGCCCAGCACUGACCACUGCUCGGUCAGUAACGGGCUUUCAAUUUGGCUUUUCUUUUUAUAAAUUGAAAAAAUUGUGAUUGAAAAAAUCCUCCUCCCCAAAGAACAUCUGUGUUGUGCUUUUUACUUUUUGUUCCAGUUUGAAAGAGAGACGAGGGCUGACUGAAAUGUCAAAAUCUUUGGACACAAUUAGCAGUCUGAAGCGAGCCUUGCCGUUGACCACGAUCAGCAAAUCGAGCUUUUUGAUCAAUGCGUUGUCUGCGAAUCCAAGAAUUGAUUGCCGCUCAGAGAUGGACUUGUGAGACUAAGAAGGUAAGUCAUGAGGCCUUGGCUGCGGCUUGGCGAUCAAUCGCCGGUGCUGUGGUCCCCGAGCGAGAUUCCCAGAGAGCGGAGGCUUUGUGCCAAAGAACGCCGGGGUUCGCGCCCCCAACGAGCCUCCGGAGGCGGACGUGGUGGGCGAAACUGAGGCGGUGGCGCCUCACCUUCUAACUACACCCUCCACAUGACUGCCAUCACUUUUUAGACGGUCACGCCGGCGUUCCACACCAAGGCUCACCAAUCGUCUUUGGUCUUAUUUUUUGAAUCGUUGAGGCCUUUCAAACUUAUUUAACGGUUAAUUCUCGCGUUUUUAAGACUCCAAAAAGUUUAGAAGUUUGAAUCCUUCCCAUAACUUCCCAUUCGAUGGCAAAGCUGUUCUCCGUGAGGCUUCGCUUCUGGGCGCCAAAGAGGGCCCCGUCUUCAUCCAGAUGAAUUUGCCGUUUGGCUGUCAAGUCGACCUGGCAGUCAGGAAUAAAAUUCAGUAUGACUUGCAUGGCUCUAAAUUGAGCCUGGCCAAACUUCUCUUUGAGCAGCUGCAAAACGUCGAGGGCAAGCUCGUGAGGGAAAUGCCACAACCUGAGACAACUGGCGAAGGGCAUGGAGCAGAUCGUAGUCUCCAGUAUGACAGCCUUAGCCAGGCAGAUGCCACCCAGAUCAAGGCCGACCCGAAGAAGGCUAGUCUGGGUAGCUUGGUCAUUUUCUGCCUUGCCAACAAACUGGAUUACUUUGGUUGCGUCGAGAAAGACGACUUCGCCAUUCUUGUGGAUAGGGCGCAGCGGAAGGAGCACAGUAAGCCGUGAGCAAGCCGACGCAGCUCAGGAGCAGGGCCACCCCAAGAAGCGCAAGGGCUUCUUCCAGUCUUUUGUCUCAUGGAUGUUCGACGCCUCUGAAUAAGUUGACUUAUUGUUUACUUUUGAUGCACAAUUAAUAGUUAAGCUGAAUGGUUAAUUAAGCAUAAUGGCAUUUUUACUGUUUUUGUAGCCGAGUUAUCUGAUCUUCCUAAGUCUUACUUGCUUCUAUUUUCAACACACCUUGAAUGGUUAAUUUAGUUGUUCACACUAUAAGAAUCAAUUUUGCUUUUAGACUUUAAAUAUAAAAAGGAAAAAAACACUUAUUUUUAUCAUGAGAAAUGCCAAUUCAUUCCUGCAAUCUUCCAAAUUGAGAUUUAAGCAAUUUCUGCUUUUCAGUAAAAUUAAAAAAAAAAUAGUAAUUAAUUAUGCAAAACAUAAAGCGAUUUAAAAGUGAAAAAAGGUAAAGUAAAAAGUUUAAACAAAUACAGUUUUGUAAUUACUUAAAGUAGUAAAUGUUAUCAUAGCAUAGAAAUUCCUGAGGAAAAACUGCUCAGGAGGAAAAAGUUAAUUAAAAUGUGCAUGUCGAGUUUCAUUUUUUUCUGAUCAGCUUACUCUAGCAAAUCGAAUUGUAAUCAUGUCUGCGGCCAAAGUUGUUUUCUCGGGCGUUCACCGUGCAGGUCUUGCCAUGGUUCAGGUGGCGGAAGGUGUUGGCGAAACCCUCGCUCCUCCCUGGGUUUGGCAAAACCAAUCUCCCAGCCAGGAUGAUGGGCUUUUUGGUGUCCAGCUUCUUCGAAUGUACUUGAAUCAACUCGAAUUUCUUUUCUCCAACUUAGCACCGAAGAUGAAGAAAGUGAUCUGGCGACUUGACCAAAUUCGGUUUCACUUUUAAGUUCAAUAAAAAUACCUCAAAAUUUCUCUUUAUAUAUGUCCAGAAACUCUAUGAAAAUUAGAAAUCACAGCGUUAAUUUUUAAUUUAGUAAGAAUUUAAAUCAAAUUUUUAUGUAUUCAGUGUCAUUGUGAUAUUUGUGAUUGAUAUGAUCAGACUUUUUCGACACAACCCUCUCGUCCUUUUCCUCUGCGGCCUGGUAUUGCAUCAAAGUUAAGAUGAAAAUCCAGCCAAUACUUUGUUUCUUCGGAUGGAUUGGAUUAUUCUAGGAUCACAGAAGCGGAUAAUUUAAAGAAAUGUAAUAUUUCCAUUUUCUCAUUUUAGAAAAAUUAAACAAGGUUUUUUUACAUAUGUUAAAGGGAAAUUUCAUCACAGUUCUGAUAACUAAAUUUAGCUACUUGCCGAUGAUUUUGUUAAUCGUUUUAAAUUCUAAAUAUUGCUUAACUUUGUUUUUCUGAUCUUCUCUAAAAAAAUCUUGUGCCACGGCCACACCUCCUUGUGCUUGAGUUCAACCCCAAGGCCCAAGGUGAACCUGGUGGAGGGCAAGAACGGCAGUGGCAAGUCGGCCAUCAUGUCCUCCGCCCUUAUGGUGGUGUUGGGGUUGGGCACCAAGGCGUCCGACAGCCCCUGGCCGCUCGUUGGCCGCAUUCGCGCGGCUUGGCUGCGCAGAACAGGUGGGCAUCAAAAUCACUCUAAAAAACAGAGGCCCAAACGCUAACAAGGGUCGAGAAGUACGGACACGAAAUCGUCCUGAAUAGAACCAUUGCAGUGAAGGGAUCCAGGUCGGUUGACUGUUGGAUCGGCGACAGGUGGUGUGGGCACUUGCGGGCGGGCUGAGCUCAACGAAAUCUUGCAGGCGCUGAACAUCAGCCUCCCAAUCUCUUUUGCCCUGCUCACUCAGGAGAACUAUAUGAAGACAUUCCUGAACAACAACAAGCCUAUAGCCACAUGACAUGUACAACCUGAUCGAGCAAGGCACUGGGAUUACAGCCAUCAAGACUCGCCUUGCUCUUUUGAGAGAUAACCUGGCUUCUUUGGGAGAAAAACGAGACCAAAUGAUCGGUUUCCUUCGACAGCUUGAGGAGCAGCUGAAAGAUAUUGGAAAACGAAGCAAAAGCAGCUGCUGAAGGCCCAAUAAUACAGGCCCUCCACCCGAAUGGACCAGUUGCAGCUUGAGUUGGCUUGGGCCUCGGGGGUUGAGGAAGAGGAGAAGGAGCGCUUCUUGCUGGCCAAAUUGGAGGCGCAAGACGAAGACUCAAAGACGCACCAGACCAAGAUGGAAAAAGUGGCCAAAAAGAUGGAUUGCUACAAGAGAGAGGAGAUCAAGUUUGCUUUAAUAUAUUCCUGUGCAGCUGUUUUGUUUUUAUUAAAUUUAGAUUUCUUUUACAAAAAUGUGGACUGCGCUCUAAUGCACGAAUGUUGUACACCUCAAAGAAAGACGAGAAGGACCAAAUGCAGCAGAGCAGCACGUUGUUGAGAUUCAGUCCAAGCCGGAUGAGAUGCGUCGCUCCAAGAACUCGCUGGAAAAACAGCUGCAGUCUCUGAAUCAAGAAAAGAAAGUUCUGCAGUCAGAAAUCAGCAAAAUUGCCAAUCUUUCUGCUGACGAGGAGUUGAGGAAGAGGGCCAAGGAGCAGGAGGAGAUGGAAAGGAAUAAAGUCCAGCUGUCCGAGGUUAAAAAUGAGUUGCGACCUCUCUUGGUCAAAGUGUGGAUGAGAGGGCAGACAGCGCUUUCGAGAUCUUGCAACUUGCUGCAACCAAUAAGGAGCACCACCAAUCUGCUUUGAAUGAGCAAAAAGACAAGCUGAGCAGAACUUUGACAGAGUGAGGAGAGACAGUGUCUCGAUCAUUCCUCCCGCCUACGGCAACAGAAUGCCUGAUUUUGCUUAGGGAAGUGGACAAGGCUGUGGAAAGAGGCCUUUUCAAGCACAAAAGCCUAUCGGAAUGCAUCUGAAACUGUAAGACUGUUCCUGGAAUUUGGCUGUGGAGAACCUGCUGAGAGCCAAGAUGCAGGUGUUUUUCUGUGACAAGUAUAACGACCAGAAGGAGAUGAACAAGAUGGCACGUCGAGUCUUGGGAUUAAACUCUGUCCCCUGCGUGGUUAGCAAAUUUUUCGACAAGCGUUUUGACAUCUCAAGAAAUAGAGCCGAGAUUCCCGAGGGAAUGGUGUGUUGGACAUUCUGGACAUUUCCGAUGCUCGUCUGUUCAAUUACCAGCUGGAUCAAAAACGAGUUGAAAACAUUAUGCUGUAUGAAAAAUACCCAAGCAUGCUAUCAAUGUGAUGCAAAGAGGUCAAACGAGAGAGUUCCUAGAAAGUGCAUUAUGGUUGUGACCAAAGAUGCUGAACUAGUGUACCCUUAUCCCAACUUCAAGGUCUCUGGCAAGGAAACUGAUGUGCUGUACCUCUUGAAGAAUCGUGAGGCCAAUUUGGCUCUGUACGAACAGCGCCUGGCCCAUGCCAUAACCAAGAGAAAGGGGUUGUGGAGAGAGCUUACACAGGCAGUGUGAGGAGGAUCGAGUACAGGAGUGUGAGGGAAAGACUGUCUGCCCUUGAGUCUCGUCGUAAGAACUUGGAUUCGACUGCCGAACGUCUCGAGUCUGCCAUUCGGCAGGUGGAGAAUUUGCCUCCCAUCAACACCACUGACAGACAACAUGCAAACUCUGAGAGAUGAAAUGAAUAUUAAAUGCAAGAGCAAAUUGAGAAGGUGCAGCAGGAGAAGGAGCACCUGGCUGAGAGAAAUGCCGAGACGGACAAAGAGAAGAACGAGAUUGUGAGGUAGAUGAUUCACCUGCGGCUGCUGAAUGCAAGGCCUUGCAUGAGAAUUGAAGUACUGUGAGUGUAACGUAACAACAGAAAACAAGAGUUGUAGGAGUUGAUGGAGGCCGAGGAGAGCAAGUCCCAAGCCAGGAACCAGCAGCUCUCCAAAAUGGCCCAGAGGAAAGCCGAGAUGGAGGCCGAAUUGGCCAACCAGAGGAAGAAGACCCUGACAGCCAAACUUGAUAGGCACAAGAGUU